rnacentral:tRNA from 1 species
GGAGGGUUGACAGAGCGGCCUAAUGUGACGGUCUUGAAAACCGUUGUCCCGCAAGGGACCGGGGGUUCGAAUCCCUCACCCUCCGC